rnacentral:rRNA from 1 species
GGCGAGGACGGGUCGCUGGUCUGAGAGGACGGCCAGCCAGACGGGGACUGGGACACGGCCCCGACUCCUACGGGAGGCAGCAGUGGGGGAUCUUGGACAAUGGCCGCAAGGCUGAUCCAGCGACGCCGCGUGGGGGAGGAAGGGCUUCGGCCUGUAAACCCCUGUUGGCGGGGACGAGGCAGGACGGUACCCGCCGAGGAAGCCCCGGCUAACUCCGUGCCAGCAGCCGCGGUAAGACGGAGGGGGCGAGCGUUGUCCGGAGUCACUGGGCGUAAAGGGUCCGUAGGCGGUGGGGUAAGUGGCGCGUGAAAGCCCCAGGCUCAACCUGGGUGAGGUCGCGCCAAACUGCCCCGCUUGAGGGCCGGAGAGGGGAGCGGAACUGCCGGAGUAGCGGUGAAAUGCUUAGAUAUCGGCAGGAACGCCAGUGGCGAAGGCGGCUCCCUGGACGGCUCCUGACGCUGAGGGACGAAAGCCAGGGGAGCGAACCGGAUUAGAUACCCGGGUAGUCCUGGCCCUAAACGUUGGGCACUAGGUGUGGGGGGUAUCGACCCUCCCCGUGCCGCAGCUAACGCGUUAAGUGCCCCGCCUGGGGAGUACGGCCGCAAGGUUGAAACUCAAAGGAAUUGACGGGGGCCCGCACAAGCGGUGGAGCAUGUGGCUUAAUUCGAUGCAACGCGAAGAACCUUACCAGGGCUUGACAUCCCCGGAACCCCCUGGAAACAGGGGGGUGCCCCCGCAAGGGGGAGCCGGGAGACAGGUGGUGCAUGGCUGUCGUCAGCUCGUGCUGUGAGGUGUUGGGUUAAGUCCCGCAACGAGCGCAACCCUCGCCCUUAGUUGCCAGCGGUUCGGCCGGGCACUCUAAGGGGACUGCCCGCGUAAGCGGGAGGAAGGUGGGGACGACGUCAAGUCAGCAUGCCCCUUAUGCUCUGGGCUGCACACAUGCUACAAUGGCCGGCACAAAGGGUUCCGAAACCGCGAGGUGGAGGCAAUCCCAAAAAACCGGUCCCAGUUCGGAUCGCAGUCUGCAACUCGACUGCGUGAAGCCGGAAUCGCUAGUAACCGCCGAUCAGCAGUGCGGCGGUGAAUACGUUCCCGGGCCUUGUACACACCGCCCGUCACACCACGAAAGUCGGUUCUGCCCGAAGCCGGUGGCCCAACCCUUCCCGGGAGGGAGCCGUCGAAGGCAGGGCCGGCGAUUGGGGUGAAGUCGUAACAAGGUAGCCGUAGCGGAAGCUGCGGCUGGAUCACCUCCUUUCUACGGAG